AUAAAAGAUUACAUUGAAAAACCGGUCAUUGAUAUCAGUUCGAUCAUCACCACGGUCUUCACGAAAAGAAGGAGAAAUAUCGAGAUGAUUUAACAUUGAGA
ensembl:ncRNA Y75B12B.16 ncRNA